rnacentral:rRNA from 1 species
AUUGAACGCUGGCGGCAGGCCUAACACAUGCAAGUCGAACGAGUGGCGGACGGGUGCGUAAUUUCUGGGAAACUGCCCGAUGGAGGCGGGUAACUACUGGAAACGGUAGCUAAUACCGCAUACCAUCGGAUUUGCCCAGAUGGGAUUAGCUAGUAGGUGGGGUAACGGCUCACCUAGGCGACGAUCCCUAGCUGGUCUUAGAGGAUGAACACCCACACUGGAACUGCGACACGGUCCAGACUCCUACGGGAUGCAGCAGUGGGGAAUAUUGCACAAUGGGCGCAAGCCUGAUGCAGCCAUGCCGCUUGUAUGAAGAAGGCCUUCGGGUUGUAAAGUACUUUCAGCGAGGAGGCGUUACUCGCAGAAGAAGCACCGGCUAACUCCGUGCCAGCAGCCGCGGUAAUUC